CCUUGGGGUCGGGGACAACCACUGGAAACGGUGGCUAAUACCGGAUAAGCCUUUGGGUAAAAGAUUUAUUGCCCCAAGAGGAGCUCGCGUCUGAUUAGCUAGUUGGUGAGGUAAGAGCUCACCAAGGCAGCGAUCAGUAGCUGGUCUGAGAGGACGAUCAGCCACACUGGGACUGAGACACGGCCCAGACUCCUACGGGAGGCAGCAGUGGGGAAUUUUCCGCAAUGGGCGAAAGCCUGACGGAGCAAGACCGCGUGAGGGAGGAAGGCUCUUGGGUUGUAAACCUCUUUUCUCAGGGAAGAAGCUCUGACGGUACCUGAGGAAUCAGCCUCGGCUAACUCCGUGCCAGCAGCCGCGGUAAUACGGAGGAGGCAAGCGUUAUCCGGAAUUAUUGGGCGUAAAGCGUCCGCAGGUGGCGAUUCAAGUCUGCUGUCAAAGCACGGGGCUUAACUCCGUUAAGGCAGUGGAAACUGAAUAGCUAGAGUGCCGUAGGGGUAGAGGGAAUUCCCGGUGUAGCGGUGAAAUGCGUAGAGAUCGGGAAGAACAUCGGUGGCGAAAGCGCUCUACUGGACGGCAACUGACACUCAGGGACGAAAGCUAGGGGAGCGAAUGGGAUUAGAUACCCCAGUAGUCCUAGCUGUAAACGAUGGAUACUAGGUGUAGCUUGUAUCGACCCGAGCUGUGCCGAAGCUAACGCGUUAAGUAUCCCGCCUGGGGAGUACGCACGCAAGUGUGAAACUCAAAGGAAUUGACGGGGGCCCGCACAAGCGGUGGAGUAUGUGGUUUAAUUCGAUGCAACGC
rnacentral:rRNA from 1 species